AGAGUUUGAUCCUGGCUCAGGAUAAACGCUGGCGGCGCACAUAAGACAUGCAAGUCGAACGGAAGUCGUUACGAAAUGGAAUGAAGAUUUAUCUGAUUGAAGUUUUGUAACAAUGGCUUUAGUGGCGGACUGGUGAGUAACACGUAAGCAAUCUACCUAUUAGAGGGGAAUAACAAUGAGAAAUCAUUGCUAAUACCGCAUAAGCUUGUAGUACCGCAUGGUACAGCAAGAAAAGGAGCAAUCCGCUAAUAGAUGAGCUUGCGGCUGAUUAGCUAGUUGGUGUGGUAACGGCAUACCAAGGCAACGAUCAGUAGCCGGGCUGAGAGGCUCUUCGGCCACAUUGGGACUGAGAUACGGCCCAGACUCCUACGGGAGGCAGCAGUCGGGAAUUUUGCGCAAUGGAGGAAACUCUGACGCAGUGACGCCGCGUAUAGGAAGAAGGUUUUCGGAUUGUAAACUAUUUUAGUCAGGGAAGAAAAAUGACAGUACCUGAAGAAUAAGCUCCGGCUAACUACGUGCCAGCAGCCGCGGUAAUACGUAGGGAGCAAGCGUUAUCCGGAAUUAUUGGGCGUAAAGGGCGCGUAGACGGCUGAGUAAGUUACUGGUGAAAGCCCAGCUUUUAAGGCUGGAAUUGCCGGUAAUACUGUUCAGCUUGAGUGCAGGAGAGGGAAGCGGAAUUCCUAGUGUAGCGGUGAAAUGCGUAGAUAUUAGGAGGAACACCAGUGGCGAAGGCGGCUUUCUGGACUGUAACUGACGUUGAGGCGCGAAAGCGUGGGGAGCAAACAGGAUUAGAUACCCUGGUAGUCCACGCCGUAAACGAUGGAUGCUAGGUGUGGGAGGUAUCGACCCCUUCCGUGCCGCAGUUAACGCAAUAAGCAUCCCGCCUGGGGAGUACGGCCGCAAGGUUGAAACUCAAAGGAAUUGACGGGGGCCCGCACAAGCAGCGGAGCAUGUGGUUUAAUUCGACGCAACGCGAAGAACCUUACCAGGACUUGACAUCUGAUUAAGCUUGUGGAAACACGAGGUCCCUUCGGGGGAAUCAAGACAGGUGGUGCAUGGUUGUCGUCAGCUCGUGUCGUGAGAUGUUGGGUUAAGUCCCGCAACGAGCGCAACCCUUAUUUCCAGUUACUAACAGGUAGUGCUGAGGACUCUGGAGAGACCGCCGGGGACAACUCGGAGGAAGGUGGGGACGACGUCAAAUCAUCAUGCCCCUUAUGUUCUGGGCUACACACGUGCUACAAUGGUGACUACAAAGAGAAGCGAAAUCGUAAGGUAGAGCGGAUCUCAAAAAAGUCAUCUCAGUUCGGAUUGUGGGCUGCAACCCGCCCACAUGAAGUCGGAGUUGCUAGUAAUCGCGGAUCAGCAUGCCGCGGUGAAUACGUUCCCGGGCCUUGUACACACCGCCCGUCACACCAUGGGAGUUUGGAGCACCCGAAGUCAGUGAGGUAACCGCAAGGAGCCAGCUGCCGAAGGUGAGCCAGAUGACUGGGGUGAAGUCGUAACAAGGUA
rnacentral:rRNA from 1 species